UUCGCAGGAGAGAUGAUGCCG
rnacentral:miRNA from 1 species